GUUGAAGCAUGUCUUGGUGUUGCCUCGACCCGGGGAGGGGGGCUAUUCUGCGGAGCAAGCGAUGUGUUGGGAGGAUCUGCGCAGGGUAGGGAUGCCUG
rnacentral:SRP_RNA from 1 species